CUUCCUCUUCCUCUUCUCCGAUUUGCUUGUCUCUCUCGUGCCCAUACAUUUGCAAUCUUCCGGCAGGAAUGUGUGCUCACGCCGUCACGCAGCAGUAAAAGUAUAGAAGCAGCAGCUCACCAACCUUGCCUGCAGAGUCCAAAAGCAGGGGAUGAGUGCUUAAUAGACAACCUAGCAUAUUCCCUGUUUAUAAGAGGAUUAAAUCCAGAUGCUUACCAGAUCACCAACAACAGGUGAUGCGUCGAUCUCUGAAAUUCCUUCCCCUGCCCGCCGUUGCGGCGUCCCCUGCUCGCCGCCACCCGGCCCACCGACCCCGCUCGCCGCCGCAGCGCCCCGCUGGCCGCCUGCCGGCGCCGGCUAGUGCCCUGGGGAGGCCGGGAGCGCGGAGCCGCCCACCCGCCGGCCGUCGCGAGCGAGCGCCGUACUGUACCAGCACGCCCGGGAUCCCGUCGCGUCCUCCGCCGUAGAGAAGCAGCGCGAUUUUUUUUUUUUUUUN
rnacentral:lncRNA from 1 species